UACGGGGGGGGCAAGCGUUAUUCGGAGUUACUGGGCGUAAAGGGCUCGUAGGUGGCCAACUAAGUCAGACGUGAAAUCCCUCGGCUUAACCGGGGAACUGCGUCUGAUACUGGAUGGCUUGAGUUUGGGAGAGGGACGCGGAAUUCCAGGUGUAGCGGUGAAAUGCGUAGAUAUCUGGAGGAACACCGGUGGCGAAGGCGGCGUCCUGGACCAAUACUGACACUGAGGAGAGAAAGCCAGGGGAGCAAACGGG
rnacentral:rRNA from 1 species